GUCCUUUAGUUAAAAAUAAUUUAAGGUCUAACCUGCCCAUUGAUUAAAUUAAAAGGCCGCAGUAAUUUGACUGUGCAAAGGUAGCAUAAUCAUUAGUUUUUUAAUUAAAAGCUUGUAUGAAUGGUUGGACGAGAUAAAAUCUGUCUCUUUAUAAUAAAUAGAAUUUAAUUUUUAAGUUAAAAAGCUUAAAUAUUUAUAAAAGACGAGAAGACCCUAUAGAUCUUUAUAUAAUUUUUUUUAGUAUUAAUAAAGAAAAAUUUAUUUAUUAUAAAAAUUUUUAUUUUAUUGGGGUAAUAAAAAGAUUAAUAAAAUUCUUUAAAAUUAAACAAAAAUUAUUGGUUUUUUGAUCCAUUAUUAAUGAUUAUAAGAUUAAGUUACCUUAGGGAUAACAGCGUAAUUUUUUUAGAGAGUUCAUAUCAAUA
rnacentral:rRNA from 1 species